UCUAUCCAUCCAAUUUAAAUCCUUAUCGGGAACUAAGGUGCAUGAUGUGUGCCAAGAGAACUCUCCAAUUUGAAUUUUAUCACCAUGAAUUUCAUGGAAAAGACCCUUCAGAAAAGUGAGACCUCAGAUCCAAGAUCCAACUUUUUCAUCACCCCCCCUCAUGAAUCAUCCUCCAAACAAUCACUAGACUAGAAAUCAUAUGUGAGGAAGAAUUCUGAAACAAUUUGCAAAACCAUUUGUUAUGUUGGGUCAGUAGCAAAUUCCCAAGGGACGUGAAAACAUCAGAAUUUAGAAUAUCGAAGAAAAGAAAAGGGGAGAAACACAAAAGAAAUAGAUCAUAGUUCUUUGCAUUUCGCAAUUGGUGGGCAAAAGCAAACGGGAGAGGCAAAUCAACAAAUACAUAGCAUAGAAAGACAAGAACCAAUAGUACCCAUCAGGGUGGGUUUUUUUUCUUUUUUUUUUUUUUAAUUAAGCGUAUCCAUUGUAGGCUAUAGCCCAUCAAACAAAUUAAUGAAUCAAGAAAUUUGAAAUGCAAAACUCCAAGGGCACUAAUGAAAAAGGCAUUGAAAAAGAAAAAAAAGGUUUAAUGUGGAAAAUUGACCUUGAUAGAGAAGGUGGGGGAGUGAGAAUGAUCAGCGACGACGACAUAAUCGGCAAGAACGACAACGUUGGUCUGGAUUUCCUCGGAGACGCACUUGGUUCCAGAUGGAGGCAAGUUCAACCAGAUUGAAUGAGCAGUUCGAAGAAGAUCUGUGGCGAAGAAACAGAGGAGGAACAACGGCAAGACAACUUCCCGGCGCAUGAUGUUUCCGAAUCUAGAAAUCGCAAAUGGAAUCCGAUUGGUGGUUUCAGAUCAGAGAUUAGAAAUGGAAGAGUAAGAAGAAGAAGAAGAAG